rnacentral:rRNA from 1 species
GUGGGGAAUCUUCCACAAUGGACGAAAGUCUGAUGGAGCAACGCCGCGUGAGUGAAGAAGGGUUUCGGCUCGUAAAGCUCUGUUGUCGGGGACGAAUGUGCAGUAUUUGAAUAAAGUACUGUAAUGACGGUACCUGACGAGGAAGCCACGGCUAACUACGUGCCAGCAGCCGCGGUAAUACGUAGGUGGCAAGCGUUGUCCGGAAUUAUUGGGCGUAAAGGGAGCGCAGGCGGGAAGGUAAGUCGGUCUUAAAAGUGCGGGGCUCAACCCCGUGAUGGGAUCGAAACUAUCUUUCUUGAGUGCAGGAGAGGAAAGUGGAAUUCCUAGUGUAGCGGUGAAAUGCGUAGAUAUCACACAGAACACCGAUUGCGUAGGCAGCUUACUGGAGCGCAACUGACGCUGAGGCACGAAAGCGUGGGGAUCGAACAGGAUUAGAUACCCCUGUAGUCC